UGAGUCCCGUUACAAGGACGGAUGCUUGCACAGCGGAUCUGGCGCAAUGUGGUGGAGAUGGCAAGCAAGAAAGGCAGAAUGCUUAGCCAAGUCUUCUGCUCUAGAGGAUACAGUCCCCAGUGGGACACAAACAGCAAACAGUUGCAUGCACCUUCCCUGUCUGGAGCGGAGAAACUUCUUCUGAGAGUGUGUAUUUGCAAAAUAACCAGGCCAACCCAAGAGCAGAUGCUCAGGAAGCAGCCUGAGCUGGGAGUUACAAGAACUCAGCUCCAGGAUGGGGUGUACUUGGCACUUGCUAGGGCUUCACCUGGACCUGAAAAGAGAGGUUCAGUUGAAUCUACCAGGACGUAACUAACACUGUAGCAGAGAGUUCAGUCUAUGUAAAAACCAUCACAAGCUCAUGAAUAUCUUCUUAGACUCGAUUCCUAGAGCUGCAAUCAUCUGUUCAAGAUAGGUGCAUACUUCCAUGUUGCUUUCUUGGAAUCUGAUACUGUUAUUCUCCCAACAGCAAAUAAGUAAAGAAAGAGAAAAAUGUCCAGUUGUCUUCUCCCAAGAGAAAAGAGAAAACAGAGGCAAAUGAAAGGACUUCUCACAGAUCAUAUUCAGUAACAAUUGCCAGGAAUUCAGAGAAGACCAGUAGUGUGUGUUUAGGUACCCAGUGUUGAAAUCCACCUCUGAGGAUGUCCAGCACUUUUCAUCUACAGAGAUUGAAGAGGUGGUUACAGAAAACACUGGAAACCCAUGCACCCGGGAGCACUUUGCAGCAUGGAGCUACAGACGCCAAACCAGGGCAUGGAUAUCAAAAACUGUCUCAGCAGUUGGCAGGGCGACGCAGAAUGCCACUUCAGGGAAGAUCACAGCUGAGCAUCUCUCUCCGGAUUCUGCCCUCACCAGAUCCAAGGCUCCGCCAGUGGAGAUGCUUCCCGGAGAGCUGCACGUCGAGGGGCGGAGCUCCUUGCACUCCAAGGCCAGCCCCAAAGCUGCCAGACACAGCUCCCGUGACUGCACAUGUGUUUAUUUGCAUGUGAGAGGAUUAAUCACAUGUUUCCCAAAUCACAGGUUUUGGUCUCAGACGUGGGCUUAGUAGAUUAUAUCCCUGAAUUAGUAUGCAAAGCAAUGCUCUGUGAAUACACCAGAGGAGAGACUCGAAAAUUCAUAACCCUUUCAUCACCACUCAAUUAUCCACUUAGGUUUUUUGCACUGUGCCUCAUGGAUGACUGUCUACUUUGUUGGAGAGUUCUCAAAAUAACUUGCAAAAAUGUCGUGUGAAUGAAGAAAGCAUUUGAAUAGUGUUUUUGAAAUAUUUUUAUUUUUAUAUAUUUGAAAAGAAGAAUGACACAGACACAAAGACACACACACACACACACACACACACAGAGAGAGAGAGAGAGAGAGAGAUCUUCCAUCUGCUAUUUUAUUCCCCCAAUGCCUGCAACAGUUGGGGCUGGGCCAAGUUCAAGCCAGGGACCAGUAAUCAUGUCCAUGUUUCCCUGACAGGUGACAGAGGCCCAAGCCCUUCAGCCAUCAUCUGUUUCUUCCAAGAUGCAUUAGCAGGAAGCUGGGUCAGAAGCGCAGGUGGCCAGGACUUGGAUGGACACUCCAAUAGGGGAGGUGGGCACCCCAACUGCAGCUAUGCCGCAACACCCACUCCUGAGGUUUAUUUUUAGUACUUGCAAUUCAUUGUUUGACACACUUGAUUGACUAAAAAUGACAACUGAAUUUCUCCAGUGAAAAACAAAGUCGUUUGCAGAAAGAGGCACUGAUAUAUAACUUCAACAGUACGGUGGACUCACUGAGGGGAGGGGAUGGACACUUAGCAGAGGUAGAAGCUGAGACUGAGCAGAAGGAGAGGUUUCGUUGGUUCCUGGGUGCACCUGCUUUGGCAGGGCUCCGUUUUAGAAGAAAGGAGUAACUCUGAGGGCUCCUAGGGGCUGCUUGCACCUGGGGCCAGAGUGCAGCACUAAAGGAGUCAUAUUCCCGCACAGCAUCAGAAGUGAGAAGAUGAUAAGACGGAAAUCUCUGUGCUCGAUUUACUCUCUGGCUUGUUUAUCGGGGUUUCAGUGACGUUGACAGAGUCUGGACGUGGGAAGUUGGGCAGGGUGUCCAUCUGCAUCAGCAGGCACCACACGGGUUGACGGUGAGUGGCAGGGCUCAUCCAGAUCUUCCGAAGUGGAACCAGAGAAUAAAAGUGGCACAGAGAAGAGGGCA
rnacentral:lncRNA from 1 species